rnacentral:rRNA from 1 species
GAUGAACGCUGGCGGCGUGCCUAAUACAUGCAAGUCGAGCGAACGGACGAGAAGCUUGCUUUUCUGAUGUUAGCGGCGGACGGGUGAGUAACACGUGGAUAACCUACCUAUAAGACUGGGAUAACUUCGGGAAACCGGAGCUAAUACCGGAUAAUAUUUUGAACCGCAUGGUUCAAAAGUUAAAGACGGUCUUGCUGUCACUUAUAGAUGGAUCCGCGCUGCAUUAGCUAGUUGGUAAGGUAACGGCUUACCAAGGCAACGAUGCGUAGCCGACCUGAGAGGGUGAUCGGCCACACUGGAACUGAGACACGGUCCAGACUCCUACGGGAGGCAGCAGUAGGGAAUCUUCCGCAAUGGGCGAAAGCCUGACGGGGCAACGCCGCGUGAGUGAUGAAGGUCUUCGGAUCGUAAAACUCUGUUAUUAGGGAAGAACAGAUGUGGAAGUAACUGUGCACGUCUUGACGGUACCUAAUCAGAAAGCAACGGCUAACUACGUG